rnacentral:rRNA from 1 species
AGCAGCCGCGGUAAUUCCAGCUCCAAUAGCGUAUAUUAAAGUUGUUGCAGUUAAAAGCUCGUAGUUGAACUUCGGGGUUUACCCAUUGGUCAGGCUUAAUUGUCUGUACUGGUGAGAUAAAUCUCUACCUUCUGAGGAACUUUCAUGUCAUUAAUUUGGUGUGAUUGGAAAUCAGGACUGUUACUUUGAAAAAUUAGAGUGUUUAAAGCAGGCUAACGUCUGAAUACAUUAGCAUGGAAUAAUGAAAUAGGACGGACUGAUUCUAUUUCGUUGGUUUCUAGGAUCACCGUAAUGAUUAAUAGGGAUAGUUGGGGGCAUUAGUAUUCAAUUGUCAGAGGUGAAAUUCUUGGAUUUAUUGAAGACUAACUACUGCGAAAGCAUUUGCCAAGGAUGUUUUCAUUAAUCAAGAACGAAAGUUAGGGGAUCGAAGACGAUCAGAUACCGUCGUAGUCUUAACCAUAAACUAUGCCGACUAGGGAUCGGACGAAGUUAAUUUUAUAAUGACGCGUUCGGCACCUUA